rnacentral:miRNA from 1 species
UGGCGUGUUUUGUAACACAGCUUAAGGUGUGUUUGACACACCUUAAGGUGUGUUAAACACACCUUAAGGUGUGUUCUAAAACCCA